rnacentral:rRNA from 1 species
AUGUUUUCUAACGGUACAUUUUGCAGAUAUAUUAGCGCCAUUGAAAGAAAUCCAGAAGACCCUGAUGCAUAUUAUAACUGGGCCCUAGUUCUCCAGGAAAGUGCUGACAACGUCGAUCCUAAUUCUGAUUCUUCAAAAGAUUCAUUACUUGAGGAGGCUUGCAAGAAGUAUGCUGAAGCUACUCGACUUUGCCCAACACUGUAUGAUGCAUAUUACAACUGGGCUAUUGCUAUAGCUGAUCGGGCCAAAAUGCGUGGGCGUACCAAAGAGGCUGAAGAACUCUGGCAGCAGGCUAUAAGGAACUACGACAAGGCAGUCCAAUUAAGUUGGAACAGCCCCCAGGCUCUCAACAACUGGGGCCUUGGACUACAGGAAUUGAGUGCGAUUGUUCCUGCUAAAGACAAGCAAACAAUCAUAAAAACAGCUAUAAGUAAGUUUCGUUCUGCCAUCCAGUUGCAGUUUGACUUCCACCGGGCUAUUUAUAACCUUGGAACUGUCCUGUUUAUGCUGCAGUAG